CAAGAGUGGAGGAUCAAACCAACAGUGUCAUCCAGCCAUUGAUAAUCACUGAAAGCAUGGUGACCGCACUCAUGUGCUAUGACCCAAACACCGGUGAGAACACAGCCCUGAACGUACCAGAAAAUCGGCCAUGCCAAGAAGGAUAGAGGUUGAGACAGAUUCUGAAUGUAGGUGGAAGCAAUGUAGUAAAGGAUAGAGGCAAUGGUGAGGUCAUAAAAGACAUAGGAGAAGGAGCGGAUAACAGAGCGCUGAAAACAAUGAGGUGGGAUGGCUUUCUUGACCUCACCGAGGCUGAACGGAGGCUUAGAGUACGGAACUCUCUUGUGGGUGUCAGCAUCCGCAUUUUUGCGCACAGGGGGCGCAACCAUUCUUCCACCGGCACCCAUUGUUCCCAA
rnacentral:lncRNA from 1 species